CAGUCUGUCAUCUUGAACCAAGCAGGGGUGUCAAGAGCUGUCAGUAAAUUCCCUGAAAUCGAAAUCAACGACGGAUGCUUUCCCUGCUAAAAAGGUGAAGAGGCCAAUACCAGCCGAAGCUAACUUCUAUCCAUCCUUCCCUACUGGAGAAACUCAGGACAGCAUGGAAAAAGAGAGGAUAGAACUUCUGACAGAUGUUAAGAUAAGGAACCACGAAAGGGUAAUAACAGACAAAAUGGCUUGCACGUUUGCCAACAGACAAGAGGUAGUCAACCAAGAACCCAGCAUUCAAGACUUUAAAGACAGGUGGCCUGCCUUGUUCCAUCAGAAAGAGAUCAAUGCAGAGUUCCUGAGGCUCAUGGCUGUUCCUCUUGAGGAUAAGUUCUUUGCCAGUUAGACAUCCACUCAAGUCAGCUAAUCGGAGUCAUCCGUGCCAAAGGUGGAUCAACAUGCCAAGACUGCUGACAUCAUGGACAUUUUGGACCAGAAUAGUGGAGAUCUAUGGACGUCACCGUUGAAAUCAAAAGGGGAAAACUGCACUUUUCUUUAAUGAAUAAACCAAAAGAAAGGCAUCCACAAGGAGAAGCUGAGGAUAUGGAAAACUGUGAUCAGUACAUACCGUCUUGGAGCUCCACCCAGGCCAGAGCCAGGCAGAGGACGAAGCCCAGCUUCAUGAUGUGCACGGGGGCUGCAACAGGCGGUCUGGGGGCCUCUAAGGUGGGACAGGGGUGGAGAACCCUCGGAUACCUGGGAGAAGCGUCACGGGCAGUUGGAGGGUGGGGGUAAUGGCGAUAGGACCGUCUGGUGUUUUUAACAACUCGGUUAGACUCCUAGAUCCAUUCUCCUCUUAGACCGAGAGGAAAGUGGAGAGGAAUACUUUGGGCUCCCCCACCCUCUAAUAACUCUCUCUUUCCAGAUGUCAAAGGGAGGCAAAUAUACUCACGCAUGUACGCUCUGGCGCCCUCUGCUGGAUAAAUACAGCGUCGGUGAAAGUUCAGUUUGUCUUUGCGACGACUACAACGGCAGCAGACAGUUAUAUCUCAAAUUCAAUCAUUAUCAAAAGAAUUGUAGUGAUUUAUUAAAUCAACACUAGUCUUACUUAAAUAAAACAAAAACAUUUGUUUUAUUUUAUUGUUAGUAACAAAUUAUAACACAUAAUUCCAUUGUGGAAACGUACAUGUUCUGAAAAAAUCUUGAAUUGACUUAACUGAAGGGCAAACCGAAUCCAUGAAAAUUCAACAUUAGUAGAAAUUGCAUUAAUUCCACAUUAAACAAAAACUCCAGGUCAAACUGAUAAUGGUUCAAAAUAUUAUUUCCUCAAUGUAGUCUGACAAGGCAAAGAUGCACCAAAAAGGGAAGAUAAAUACUCAAACAUUAUGCUAACUAAAGUUUAAUUAUAUAUAUAUAUCCUCAAGAACACAUUAUAUGCCCACAAGCCACUCUCAACAUGUUCAGAGAAAUUAAUGGUAAAGUCAAAAGAACAGGAAUUUUUAAUUUCCCAACAGUUUGAGGGUCAAACAAUACUAUCAGAUCCUCAAAACAACAGGUCCUAAUGUGGAUAUGCAGACUACAUCUGAUGGGUCUCUCUUCAAUGAACGAUGAACACCAGACAGCCAAUAACCGUACAGCGACAUAGCUAAUACAAAUAACAGAUAGAAACAA